rnacentral:rRNA from 1 species
AGUCGAGGGGCAUCAAGAAGAAAGCUCAGCUUUCUUUGCUGGCGACCGGCGCACGGGUGAGUAACACGUAUCCAACCAGCCCUUUACUCGGGGAUAGCCUUUCGAAAGAAAGAUUAAUACCCGAUAGCAUAAUGAUUCCGCAAGGUUUCAUUAUUAAAGGAUUCCGGUAAAGGAAGGGGAUGCGUUCCAUUAAGUUGUUGGAGAGGUAACGGCCCACCAAGCCUUCGAUGGAUAGGGGUUCUGAGAGGAAGGUCCCCCACAUUGGAACUGAGACACGGUCCAAACUCCUACGGGAGGCAGCAGAGAGGAAUAUUGGUCAAAGGGCGGUAGCCUGAACCAGCCAAGUAGCGUGAAGGAUGAAGGCUCUAUGGGUCGUAAACUUCUUUUAUGUAAGAAUAAAGUGCAGUAUGUAUACUGUUUUGUAUGUAUUAUAUGAAUAAGGAUCGGCUAACUCCGCGCCAGCAGCCGCGGUAAUACGGAGGAUCCGAGCGUUAUCCGGAUUUAUUGGGUUUAAAGGGAGCGUAGGAGGACUGGUAAGUCAGUUGUGAAAGUUUGCGGCUCAACCGUAAAAUUGCAGUUGAUACUGUCAGUCUUGAGUACAGUAGAGGAGGGCGGAAUUCGCGGCGUAGCGGAGAAAUGCUUAGAUAUCACGAAGAACUCCGAUUGCGAAGGCAGCUCACUGGACUGCAACUGACACUGAUGCUCGAAAGUGUGGGUAUCAAACAGGAUUAGAUACCCUGGUAGUCCACACAGUAGACGAUGAAUACUCGCUGUUUGCGAUAUACAGUAAGCGGCCAAGCGAAAGCAUUAAGUAUUCCACCUGGGGAGUACGCCGGCAACGGUGAAACUCAAAGGAAUUGACGGGGGCCCGCACAAGCGGAGGAACAUGUGGUUUAAUUCGAUGAUACGCGAGGAACCUUACCCGGGCUUAAAUUGCAGUGGAAUGAUGUGGAAACAUGUCAGUGAGCAAUCACCGCUGUGAAGGUGCUGCAUGGUUGUCGUCAGCUCGUGCCGUGAGGUGUCGACUUAAGUGCCAUAACGAGCGCAACCCUUAUCUUCAGUUACUAACAGGUUAUGCUGAGGACUCUGGAGAGACUGCCGUCGUAAGAUGUGAGGAAGGUGGGGAUGACGUCAAAUCAGCACGGCCCUUACGUCCGGGGCUACACACGUGUUACAAUGGGGGGUACAGAAGGCAGCUAGCGGGUGACCGUAUGCUAAUCCCAAAAUCCUCUCUCAGUUCGGAUCGAAGUCUGCAACCCGACUUCGUGAAGCUGGAUUCGCUAGUAAUCGCGCAUCAGCCACGGCGCGGUGAAUACGUUCCCGGGCCUUGUACACACCGCCCGUCAAGCCAUGGGAGCCGGGGGUACCUGAAGUACGUAACCGCAAGGAUCGUCCUAGGGUAAAACUGGUGACUGGGGCUAAGU